rnacentral:misc_RNA from 1 species
CGCACCUUGCACCCUCUGGUAUUCCGGAGGGUAUGCCUGUCCGAGUGUCUUGAAAACCUCACACCUCCCGGGUCCUGCCCGGGUGGAAGUGGAUUUGGGCGUUGCCGUCUCGGCUCGCCUUAAAUGCCUUAGCGGUCCCUCGGGGGAUGGCCCUUGCGUGAUACGUUUCGCUCGGUCCUGAACCUUUGGUCCGCUCAGAACAACCAAGCCUUUCAUACACCUUGACCUCGGAUCAGGUAGGACUACCCGCUGAACUUAA